rnacentral:rRNA from 1 species
GACGGAGGGGGCAAGCGUUGUUCGGAAUUAUUGGGCGUAAAGGGCUCGUAGGCGGACCGGUGUGUCUGGCGUGAAAUCUCCACUGCUUAACAGGGAGGGGCCGCUGGAAACUGCCGAUCUUGAGUAUGGUAGAGGACCAUGGAAUUUCGGGUGUAGCGGUGGAAUGCGUAGAUAUCCGAAAGAGCACCGGUGGCGAAGGCGGUGGUCUGGACCAAAACUGACGCUGAGGAGCGAAAGCCAGGGGAGCAAACGGG